CCCUUAGAUGUUCUGGGCCGCACGCGCGCUACACUGACGAAUGCAACGAGCUUAUAACCUUGGCCGAAAGGUCUGGGUAAUCUCCAAAUUUCGUCGUGAUGGGGAUAGAUUAUUGCAAUUAUUAAUCUUCAACGAGGAAUGCCUAGUAAGCGCAAGUCAUCAGCUUGCGUUGAUUACGUCCCUGCCCUUUGUACACACCGCCCGUCGCUCCUACCGAUUGAAUGGUCCGGUGAAGCGUUCGGACCGUGGCCUUUGGACGGUUCGCCGUCUGUUGGCUGCGGGAAGUUCGUUAAACCUUNUNAUUUAGNGGAAGGAGAANUCGUANCA
rnacentral:rRNA from 1 species